AACGAACGCUGGCGGCAGGCCUAACACAUGCAAGUCGAACGCUCGUAGCAAUACGAGAGUGGCAGACGGGUGAGUAACACGUGGGAACCUUCCCUAUGGUUCGGAAUAGCUCAGGGAAACUUGAGGUAAUACCGGAUAAGCCCUUCGGGGAAAGGAUUUAUCGCCAUUGGAUGGGCCCGCGUCGGAGUUAGCUAGUUGGUGAGGUAACGGCUCACCAAGGCAACGAUCCGUAGCUGGUCUGAGAGGAUGAUCAGCCACAC
rnacentral:rRNA from 1 species